rnacentral:rRNA from 1 species
UACGAAGGGGGCUAGCGUUGUUCGGAUUUACUGGGCGUAAAGCGUGCGCAGACGGUUGCGUAAGUCAGAUGUGAAAGCCCCGGGCUCAACCUGGGAAUUGCAUUUGAGACUGCGUAGCUAGGGUGCGGAAGAGGGAAGCGGAAUUUCCGGUGUAGCGGUGAAAUGCGUAGAUAUCGGAAGGAACACCAGUGGCGAAAGCGGCUUCCUGGUCCAGCACCGACGUUCAGGCACGAAAGCGUGGGGAGCAAACAGG